CUUGCUUUUCCCUGGCUUGUCUGCGCAAAAAGAUGGAAAGCAAACAUUUCACCUCCCUUCCAGGGAGGAUUUGGAGUUAAGUUCUUUUUAAUCUCAAGGACAGCUAAAUUUUCGGUUUUUAAUUAACAAGUUAAUUUCGAAACGAUCAAAGUCUAUUGUGAAAAUGCCACAGGAGAGGAGGGCGAUGUGAAGGGACGCAGGGCCUCAGAGGGAAACAGGAAGUUGUGGAAAAGGGAUUUUCCAAUGAGAGGGGCUCACCAGAGCGCCUCUUGCGAGGCUGGGAGCUGAAGCUUAGAGAAGCAGCCUGGAGAGCCAUUGCUCCAGAAGAACAGGAUUGCCCAUCACAGUAAAUGGUUGUCCUACAGCCGGAAUAUCAGACCAAAAACACCUGCUAAAGGAAGUCGCCUAUCAAGAUCAUACCCUGAGAAGACUCAGGAGGUCAGACAGUCAACUCUCAAUUCCAUCCCACAAGUCCACUGUCGACCACCCACUCCCUGCUGUGCUUGUGCCAAGCAUCUCGAAGGAUACAAAGUGAAUAGGACACUGUCCACCCUCAAGAACUCUAACAUCUCCUAAGGGGAAAUUACUAUGAUACAAGUUCCAAAACAAUUUAAUUAA